UCAGCGGCAACAAGCCAUUCCUCCUUCUCCUCUCCUGAUGGCUUCACAGCCGCCACUACUACCCUGCAGCAAAGCAGCACCAGCGGCACCACCAAGGAAAGCUUGGCCACCAUAUCCCACCUAUCCACGGCACUCGUGUCCUCUGCUCCUUCCUCCACUCCUGCCGUUACCAGCAAUAUACAGAUGACCACAGUCCCUCCAAAAAGUGCUAUGGCUAGAUUUACAAGAUCCACAGCUAAUCCAAUUUUCACCACCACAUUUGUAUCAGGACCUUGUAUGCCAGUGUCCAUCGAAGUUCAGAAUGUGACUGGGGGUGCAAUACAAUUCAGCUGGACUAGUGGCAGGAGAGGCAGCCUCCACACCAUCUCCCUCAUGGAUGGAAAUCAGGAGAUAAAACAACUACAAAAGAGACAAAAACUGUGUUUGAACAUUUACUUCCUGGUCAUGUAUACACGGUAUCUGUGGAAGCACAGUCUUGUGCUGGGGAUAGCAGGACUUCAGUGAGUGUUCGAACAGAUCCUGUUUCCUGUUUCAACAGAGCUGAUCUUUGCUUACCAUAGAAUACUGCCUGUCCUGACUUAAAAGAUAUGGUAUGCUCAUGUAAGUUUUACAGAAUUUUAAAAUUUGUUUAUUCAUAACUAUGGGAUGUUAUUUCACAAUAUAUAAUGCCUUUCAUGAGUAUUUUGCCAUCAGCUUUAUUGUGUCAAUUCACAUAGCGCUUGAAGUUCACACUUUUUUUGGUAAGGAAGCUGCCUUCAUCAAACUUCAGCAUCAGAUUCCAGUUCUAUUUUUAGUCUGGACUAUUCUAUGUAAAGCUUACUUGUUUUGGCUUAGGGCUUAUCCACCUCCUCAAGAGGAUUUAAACAUGCUCAGUGCCUUGGAAAAUGUCAUAAACCAAUCUUGUUUCUGCUGAAAUCAAUGGGAGAGUGGCUGUUGACUUAGGGAGAUGCAUCCUGAAUAAUACAGGAAUGACUAACAAAUUGUGAGAAUUGUGAUGGCUGACAGUUGAAAAAGAGAUUCAACUCUGGAGGUUCAGAAUCUAGUACAUUAGACAUAUAUGAUACACUUUCUUAUUAUUUGAUUAGUUUCUGAUUUUA